CGAAGGCCCUAUGCAGUCAUUCUGUUUGACGAGAUAGAGAAGGCUCACUCUGAUGUGUUCAACGUGUUCCUUCAGAUUUUGGAUGACGGGCGAGUAACUGACUCACAAGGUCGGACUGUGAGCUUUACUAACACAGUUAUUAUCAUGACUUCAAAUGUGGGUUCACAGUAUAUUCUUAACACUGAUGAUGAUACAUUAACAAAGGAAACAACAUAUGAAACCAUAAAACGACGG
rnacentral:misc_RNA from 1 species